rnacentral:RNase_P_RNA from 1 species
ACAUGUGAGGCGAUCGCGCAGCAGCUUCGGCUGCGGUGAGGAAAGUCCACGCUCGCCCGGGCUGCGAUGCCCGGAGUUCGGAUGCCUGCCCAAUAAAUAAGGCAGGGCAGCCUGCAAAGGCUGACGGCGGAGGAAACUAGCUACGUUCGCUUGCGAAUAUGCAGGAGUACUUCUGAAAGUGCCACAGUGACGAAGCUUCCCGGAAACGGGAAGAGUGGAACGAGGUAAACCCCAUCUGCGAGAAACCCAAACUUUGGUCGGGGAACUGCUCGGAGGGAAUCAGAACUGAAGAGCGGAUCGGCAGCAAUGCCGAUAGUCAAAUGGUUGCCACUCAUAGUGCGAGGCCGACAAAGCCGUUUGAAGCACGGAGGAACAGAACGUGGCUUACAACA